GUGCACAGCUCAGUGGUAGACCACUUGUCCAGCAUUCAUGAGGCUCUGGGUUCCAUCCCCAGCAUGUGCAUG
rnacentral:tRNA from 1 species